rnacentral:rRNA from 1 species
GGGGAAUCUUGCACAAUGGGGGAAACCCUGAUGCAGCGACGCCGCGUGAGCGAUGAAGCCCUUCGGGGUGUAAAGCUCUUUCGGCAGGGACGAUAAUGACGGUACCUGCAGAAGCAGCUGCGGCUAACUACGUGCCAGCAGCCGCGGUAAUACGUAGGCAGCAAGCGUUGUUCGGAAUUACUGGGCGUAAAGAGUGCGUAGGCUGUUUGUCAAGUUCGGUGUGAAAUCUCCUGGCUCAACUGGGAGGGUGCGCCGGAAACUGGCAGACUAGAGUGUGGGAGAGGAAAGUGGAAUUCCUGGUGUAGCGGUGAAAUGCGUAGAUAUCAGGAGGAACACCGGAGGUGAAGACGGCUUUCUGGACCAUAACUGACGCUGAGGCACGAAAGCGUGGGUAGCAAAC